ACGAACGCUGGCGGCGUGCUUAACACAUGCAAGUCGAACGGAAAGGCCCUGCUUUUGUGGGGUGCUCGAGUGGCGAACGGGUGAGUAACACGUGAGUAACCUGCCCUUGACUUUGGGAUAACUUCAGGAAACUGGGGCUAAUACCGGAUAGGAGCUCCUGCUGCAUGGUGGGGGUUGGAAAGUUUCGGCGGUUGGGGAUGGACUCGCGGCUUAUCAGCUUGUUGGUGGGGUAGUGGCUUACCAAGGCUUUGACGGGUAGCCGGCCUGAGAGGGUGACCGGCCACAUUGGGACUGAGAUACGGCCCAGACUCCUACGGGAGGCAGCAGUGGGGAAUAUUGCACAAUGGGCGGAAGCCUGAUGCAGCAACGCCGCGUGCGGGAUGACGGCCUUCGGGUUGUAAACCGCUAUCGCCUGUGACGAAGCGUGAGUGACGGUAAUGGGUAAAGAAGCACCGGCUAACUACGUG
rnacentral:rRNA from 1 species